AACGAACGCUGGCGGCGUGCCUAACACAUGCAAGUCGAACGAGAAAGGGGCUUCGGCUCCGAGUAAAGUGGCGCACGGGUGAGUAACACGUAGGUAACCUGCCUCUAAGAUUGGGAUAACUUGUCGAAAGAUGAGCUAAUACCAAAUAAGACCACGGUUUCCUCGGGGACAGGGGUCAAAGGUAGCCUCUAUUUAUAAGCUAUCGCUGAGAGAUGGGCCUGCGUACCAUUAGCUAGUUGGNGAGGUAACGGCUCACCAAGGCAAAGAUGGUUAGCUGGUCUGAGAGGAUGAUCAGCCACACUGGAACUGAGACACGGGUCCAGACUCCUACGGGAGGCCAGCAGUGGGGAAUAGUUGCGCAAGUGGGACGAAAGCCUGACGCAGCAACGCCGCGUG
rnacentral:rRNA from 1 species